UGACCCUAAAAGUUCUUUAAACACAAAGGUUUGGUCCUGACCUUAAAGUCAAUUAUUUCUUAAUAUACACAUGCAAGUAUCAGCCCUCCUGUGAAAACGCCCUUAAUUUUCCCCAUUAGGGAUAAGGAGCUGGUAUCAGGCACAAAAUAUGCCCAAAACACCUAGCUAUGCCACACCCACAAGGGAACUCAGCAGUGAUUAACAUUAAACAUAAGCGCCAGCUUGAUUUAGUUAAAGAAAAUAGAGCCGGCAAAUCUGGUGCCAGCCGCCGCGGUUACACCACGUGACUCAAAUUGAUUUAUAUCGGCGUAAAGCGUGAUUUAAGAGUAUUAAGAUUGAAAUUAAAUUUUAAUUAAGCUGUAACACGCUUGUUUUUAAGAAAACCAAACACGAAAGUUAUUUCAAUUAUCUCCACUUGAAUUCACGACAAUUAGGAUACAAACUGGGAUUAGAUACCCCACUAUGCCUAAUCGUAAACUUUAAUUUACACUAACAUCGCCAGGGAACUACGAGCAAAGCUUAAAACCCAAAGGACUUGACGGUACCCCAAAUCCACCUAGAGGAGCCUGUCCUAUAAUCGAUAACCCCCGUUAAACCUCACCACUUCUAGCUUAUCAGCCUGUAUACCUCCGUCGUCAGCUUACCUCGUGAGCGAAUCAUAGUGAGCCUAAUGCUUAUACACCAACACGUCAGGUCAAGGUGCAGUAUAUGAAGUGGGAAGAGAUGGGCUACACUUUCUAAUUUAGAACAUACGAAAAAUUAUUUAUGAAAACUAAUUUGAAGGCGGAUUUAGAAGUAAAAAGAAAUUAGUGUAUUCUUUUUAACCCGGCACUGGGGUGUGUACACACCGCCCGUCACCCUCUUCAAGGCCUAUUUAUAGUAUUUAACUAAAUUUGCUAUUCAGAAGAGGCAAGUCGUAACAUGGUAAGUGUACCGGAAGGUGUGCUUGGAAACAAAACGUAGCUUAAUUAAAGCAUCUUGCUUACACCAAGAAAAUGUAUGUGAAAACCAUACCGUCUUGAGCUAAAAACUUAGCCUUACCCUACAAUUAUAUUUACCCUAUUUUACUUACACAAAAUAAAACAUUCUUUAAGCUUAGUAAAGGAGAUAAAAAAGUUUUUUAGAGCUAUAAAAUAAGUACCGCAAGGGAAAAAUGAAAUAAAAAUGAAACAAAAUUCAAGCAUAAUAUAGUAGAGUUUUCCCCUCGUACCUUUUGCAUCAUGAUUCAACUAGUUUAACCACGCAAAAAGAAUUUAAGUUUGACUUCCCGAAACUAAGUGAGCUACUUCAGGGCAGCUAAAUGAGCCAACCCGUCUCUGUUGCAAAAGAGUGGGAUGACCCUUAAGUAGAGGUGAUAAACCUAACGAACUUAGUGAUAGCUGGUUAUUCAGAAAAAGAAUUUUAGUUCAACUUAAAAUUACAUAAAUAAAAUAAAAUAAAAUUUUAAUUUUAAAGCAAUUCAAAUAAGGUACAGCCUAUUUGAAAUAGAAUACAAUCUAAACUAUAGGGUAAAUAUAAAAAAUUAAUGUAAUAAAGUAGGCCUAAAAGCAGCCAACUUUAAAAUAGCGUCAAAGCUUACUUCCAUAAUUUUUUAAUACUAUUAUUUACAAUGAACCCUUUAUUUUUACUGAAUAUUUCUAUAAAGUUAUAGAACCUUUUAUGUUGAAACUAGUAACAAGAAGUUAAACUUCUCCUCAAUAUAAGUAUAAGUCGACUAGGAUAAACCAUCGACAAUUAACGCUUAAAUUAAAUGUAUUAACUCCACAAGAAAAACUUACAUUACCCCACGUUAAUCUUACACGAGAACAUUUAAGGAAAGAUUUAAAAAAAAGGAAGGAACUCGGCAAACAUUAACCCCGCCUGUUUACCAAAAACAUCGCCUUCUGAUAUAUUAUAGAAGGUCCAGCCUGCCCAGUGAAUUAAUUUAACGGCCGCGGUAUCCUAACCGUGCGAAGGUAGCGUAAUCACUUGUUCUUUAAAUGAGGACUAGUAUGAAUGGCACCACGAAGGUUAUACUGUCUCCCUUUUUUGAUCAGUUAAACUAAUCUUCACGUGAAGAAGCGUGAAUAAACAUAUAAGACGAGAAGACCCUAUGGAGCUUAAAAUUACACAACAAUUGUUAAAAAAAAUCCUAAAUUUUAUAAAUAAUUUUUUACUAAACACCAUGAUUGCUAAUUUUUGGUUGGGGUGACCGCGGAGUAAAAAUUAACCUCCACAAUGAAAGAAAUCAAUAUUCUAAACUAAGAGCUACAACUCAAAGUAUUAAUAUUUUAACAUUCUUUGAUCCAAUAUUUGAUCAACGAACAAAGUUACCCUAGGGAUAACAGCGCAAUCUACUUUGAGAGCUCCUAUCGACAAGUAGGUUUACGACCUCGAUGUUGGAUCAGGGUAUCCUAGUGGUGCAGCCGCUACUAAUGGUUCGUUUGUUCAACGAUUAAAACCCUACGUGACUG
rnacentral:ncRNA from 1 species